AGCGAACGCUGGCGGCAGGCUUAACACAUGCAAGUCGAGCGGGCACUUUCGGGUGUCAGCGGCGGACGGGUGAGUAACGCGUGGGAACGUGCCCUCUGGUUCGGAAUAACUCAGGGAAACUUGAGCUAAUACCGGAUACGCCCUUUUGGGGAAAGGCUUGCUGCCGGAGGAUCGGCCCGCGUCUGAUUAGCUAGUUGGUGAGGUAACGGCUCACCAAGGCGACGAUCAGUAGCUGGUCUGAGAGGAUGAUCAGCCACACUGGGACUGAGACACGGCCCAGACUCCUACGGGAGGCAGCAGUGGGGAAUAUUGGACAAUGGGCGCGAGCCUGAUCCAGCCAUGCCGCGUGAGUGAUCAAGGCCUUAGGGUUGUAAAGCUCUUUUAUCCGGGACGAUAAUGACGGUACCGGAGGAAUAAGCCCCGGCUAACUUCGUG
rnacentral:rRNA from 1 species